rnacentral:lncRNA from 10 species
AUUCAUUCCUUGCAAUCACCCAGUGAGAGACCUACUCUUCAUCAGCAGGCACUGAAGGCACAUUUCACACAUCAUCAUCUGUGUUUGUCUAGGAGAGCCUAGAAAGUCAGAGAUUUUUCUCGACAAAGCAGCCUGGGUUAUUUCAGAGGAGGAACCUGCUGCAUGGAGAAGCAGAAACUUGGGCCCAUCCUCCAAGGCUUCAGCAUUCCAGAGGCCAGAUGUGUGAGCCUGACGUCACCCACCAAGUCGUGGCCCCAUUCCAGGCUGCGCUCCGAUGGAUUGCGACCCCUGUUCCUCCAUGCUGUCUCCUCCUCCCUUUCCUUGGCGUGAAGGAGACUGAGUGGUGCUGGCAGCCACUCCCCAGCAUCUGGCGGAACAUUCUGCCCCAUAGUUGAGCUCUUUUCACUCCCUAGCUUCCCCUAGGGAUGGCUGGUGACUCAUAUUUCCAUUUUCAAUGUGGGGCCAGGAGCCUGAUCUUUCCAUGACCACCAGGACUGGCUAUAUAGCGUCGGAAUCAAGGACAUGAGCUAUGACAUCAGAUAGGCCUGAGUUCAAAUCCUUCUCGACUGCUUGUUGGCUGUGUGAUUUCGGUCAACUAACUCACCCUCUCUGAGCCUCUCUUUCCCCAUUUGGAAAUGCAGGCCACAAUGAUCCACUCUGAUGUCUUCCUUCUUGCAAAAGUCCCUUCCCUUUUGCCUGAAGCUCUGAAAAAUGAACCGUUCCCUCUAUCAGCUUUCUCUUUUAAAUAUUUACCUUUCACAAGCCGAGGAAAGAGGAAGCUGAUAUUAGAUUUUUUGAAAUAGAAUAGUAAUAUUUAUAUGCCAUUUACUGUGUGUAAAGGAUCUAUUAUCAGGUGUUAUUAUUCACCCCAUUUUAUAGGUGAGGAAACUGAGGCCCAGAGAAGUAAAGUAACUUGCCCGAACCAGUAAGUGGCAUGGCUGAAAUUCACACCUAGGCUGUCUGUCUUCAGAGCGCAUGCUCUUAAUCCCGAUAUAGAGAAAUGCAAACGAGAUGAAAUGGGGAAGGCCUUGGCACAGUGCUGGGCCCACAGUGAACUCCAAGUAAGUGUUUGCUGCUAGUACUAUUACUACUAUUACUUCAUCAGCAUGUCAGAGUCUCAUCCUUGCACGCGAGAAGAAGCAGGGCAGGGAUCCCUGCCCUUCUGGCCAAAUCCAGCAGUCAAGAUGCUCUUGAGUUAAAAAGGGCCAAUCGCUCACCCCAAAUGUGGGGGUCCCUUGCAUGCCAAUGGAAUGUUCUUGUCACGUGGCCUGCCAAGGGGGGAUGCUCUCCCUUGUCCUUAGGGUGGAAACAGGAGAGGCCCCAUAGAUGUCAGCAGAUUGUCAGGUGACCGUCCAGCCCAGGCAGCUUGGCUCCAAGAGGCCAGGUUUAACCACUGGGCUCUCUGCUUCCCCGAGAGACCACUCCUAUCAAAAGGUGAAGCUUGUGAUUUGGGCCCUAAAACCAAAAAGCCAAUGAGAUGCUGGUAACAGAAGCCCUACCAGAGACAAAGUAUCCCUUCGUGGUUACAUGUGAAAGGCUGGGCACAGGAGUAUCAGGAAAACACAAACACAAAGAAAGCAGGGCUAGCAAUAUGGAUGGCAGACAAGACAGAAUUUGAGGAGAAAAGCAUGAAAUUGAAGGAUAAGGGGACCUCUUUGUCUCCAUGUGCCACCUCCAACUGGCCUCUCAUUUUUAUUAUCCUUCCUAGACCUCUUCCACCUCAUCCAGUUCUUCUGUGGCCCCUUGGUGGCCAAGGCCCGCCCUCUUCAUGCCCCACGAGAGAUGAGCCAGCCUCCAGGUCUCCCACUGCUGCUUGGUUUCCUUUCUCAGGGGCCUUUGGGAGGUUGAGUUUUUUGUUUUUUUUUUUUUUUUUUGAGACGGAGUCUUGCUCUGUCACCCAGGCUGGAGUACAGUGGUGCCAUCUUGGCUCACCGCAACCUCCACCUCCCGGGUUCAAGCAAUUCUCCCGCCUCAGCCUCCCGAGUAGCUGGACUACAGGCGUGCACCACCAUGCCUGGCUAAUUUUUGUAUUUUUAGUAGAGAUGGGGUUUCACCAUGUUGGCCAGGCUGGACUCGAACUCCUGACCUUGUGAUCCGCCCACCUCAGCUUCCCAAAGUGCUGGGAUUACAGGCGUGAGCCACCGUGCCCAGACGAGGUUGAGAUCUUUACUGCUUGGUCUUCUUUGACCAGACAUGGCUAUUAUCCCCUCUCUCCCCCAGUUUCCAAGGUUCCAACUCUGCCUGUUUUCAGGGCACUAGGGAGCUUGCCUCCCAGAAGGAGUGAGAGCGAGGGUGGACACCCAAAGGCCCUCUGCCUGGCUGGUUGCUCACACAGCUGUCUUUGAGUGAAGCGUCUGGCCCACAGUAGACAUCCAUAAAUGUGUGUUGCCUAAACUCAACUGAACCCUUAGUCUAUAAAUUCUGUUACUUUAACUUGAAAAAAGUGAUGAGGAGGUCUUAUCUGACAGUAUUCAUCCUGAGCUAUAGAGAUCAUUCUAGAAAAUUUCCUACCGAAUGUUUUCAGCUAGAAAAUAAGCUCACUGGAAGCCCCCAAGCCCAUGCCUGUCCCUUACUUCCUUCAUUCAAUGAGCAUUGAUCAAGAUUGCUACCCAGCACUUGAUGUUGUAAGAAAUGCAAAACUGUGUAAGGCUUCAAGCUGCUAACACUAUAGAAAGGACAGGAAGUCCUCCAGCCAUGGGUCGAUGUCUAUGGAACAUCAGCUAUUUGCUCCCAGAUAUUGAUUACUUACAGUGCAACAGGAAACAGAACACUUCGUGGAGCUCAUAGUCUCCAGCGGGGGUUGACAGACAUCAAAACCAAAAUCACAGCCCCAAGCGCAAUCAUCCCAAGCCCCCAUCACAGUACCAGGCACCCCAUGCAAACAGCUGCCUUUCAAGACACUCGCUUCAGAGUUGGGCUCAGCUGGCUAGCACCUCAGCUGCAUCACUUACUUUGUGUGACCUUGAGCAAAAGGUAUAAACUCCCUGAGGCUUAGUUUCAUUUUCUGUAAAAUGUAAAUAAUAAUCACUUUCUUCCUGGGGUCAUGAUAAAAAUGAAAAGCAAUGACCCAAGUAGCUGGCAUAUCAUUAUUAUUAUUAUUAUUAUCAUUAUGAUAAUGACCAUGACAAUAUAAUAAAUACCAGAUGAAUGGCACAGAAAUGGGAGAGGGAGGGAAUACUUCUUCCUGGAGAGAGGAUGGUAUGAGGAUAAUUUUCGGGAGAAGGUGGGUGUUGGUGCUGAGCCCUAAAGGAGGGGUUGGAUUUCUAUACAAGGAAGUGGCGAAGAGUGAAUCAGUUCAAAAGUAGAAAAAUGAAUGAUUCAGAAGGUCAUUAAAAUAAAACAAAUAAAGAAUCUAAACCAAAUGACUGGGUUCCUUAAAAAUAGGACAUUGCAUUGCCAAGCUAAGAAGCAUUAGUCAGGCGGAGGAGGUGGCUACUGGGAAAUUUCACCCAGUUCAGCAUUAUUGAGAAGUUGUGGGUUCCUGAAGCCUUCAGUGGGCGUUGUGCAAUCCUGAGGGGUUAAGGUAACCCAAACCCUGGUCCAGGGAGUGAAAGGGA